CUCUGUAAGAAGACUGCUGUUGAUUUAGACCUUUCAUAUAAAUUAUUCAUGUUUUAUGAGUUUUCAUUAACACAGCAGUUGUAAUAAGGUCAUUAAUUUAUAAAAUCAACUUUCUGAUUGGAAGCUGAAGACUACGACAGCCAUGUUGUUGGCAGAAGCUGGAUGUGUGUUUAUGGGUUUUAUCCUGUACAUCUCAGGGGUUCGGGGACAAACAAACAGUAUAUGUGCCUUAAAAGGUUCAUCAGUGGAUCUGCCCUGCUCAGCUGAACAUCCCACUUCAAGCAUGAAAUGGUACACUGCACACUGGAAUGGAUCUACAGUUGUUCAGAAUGAACUCUCCGUAGAUGGAAACCGUGUAAUGUACAAGCCUGAAGAAAAUCAUCCAACUCUAACAAUCAAUGAUCUGAGAGAGAGUGAUGCAAACUUUUACUGCUGCAGAGAGAAUACUGACCAACCACAACUCUGCUGGGACAAUAGAAAUCAGCUCUAUGUUUCAGGUAAACUGACAGUAAGUUGUCAAUAAUCAAUAUUUUAAGAAUUUAACAACAUAUAUAUGAAAUCUCAUUUCAUUUUCCAUCUUCCCAGACCUGCAGGUAAAGGUGAUUCCUGCCACAGAGGGACAGACAGUAACACUGAUAUGUAGCACCAGCUGUCCUCUGACUGAAACCCCUGCAGCCUACAUCUGGUACAAGAACAGAGAGUUUCUCUAUCAGGACUGGUCUCCCUUGUACCAACAGCUGGUCAGCAGUGAGGAAGCAGUCAGAUACUCCUGUGCUAUCAAAGGCUACAAGGAUCUCAGAGCCCCUGAAGUCUCAGUGGGUGAGUGACAACGUUUAGCUUCUUAUCAUGUGACAAAAGCUCUUUAUACAUAUUUUUACUCAUAUAGGAAUAAUGUUAUUAUCAGGCACUGGAAGCUUAAAUUACAAAGCUCAUGAAGUACUGUGACUGUGUACAUCACUCUAAAUAAUAUUUCACAUUUCUGUUUUUGUCCAGAUUCUAUCACAUCAACCUGCUUUACUGUGACCUAUGCUAAAGGGAGAAUGUGUUCUUAUAAGCAGACAUCAGAGGAUGAGCCCUGCUCCAUCACAUAUCCCAGAGGUUAAGUCUCCAAAAACAAACACACAAACACAUCUCCUAAACACUUCACACUGUUAUAUAUAUUUGCUUUCUUUGUUUUUCUCAUUUUUAGCACAAGCACAAUAACUGACCGUACACAUUCUCUCCUAAUGGAUUAUCAAUGCUUUGAGUUAAUAUUUAAUCAUUUCUGUAAUCAAUUUGAACAUGUAUUUAAUAAUGGAUGAAAUAUAUAUUUGGCAUCUCCCAACAGAAGUACAUGUUAACAGGAGUCCUGCAGCCAAUCAGGACCAUAUCAGUCUGACCUGUAACACCAGCUGUCCUCUGACUGCCACUGUGUGGUAUAAGAACGGACACAGAGAGCACGAGAGACCACUGUAUGUAGUUCCCAACACUUCUAUUGACACAAUCUUCUGUGCUGUAAAAGGUUUCGAGGAUCUGCACUCUGAUGAAGUCUGUGAGUAUGAACCAACUCAAUGUCUGUUAGAACAUUUGUGUUAUGAUCUCAGUUGUGAUUUUGAAAAGAUAAUGAGAAACAUGAUGACUUUAAUAAUGUUUAAACGUAACAGGAUGUUAUAAACAGAAAUGCAUUAGAG
rnacentral:lncRNA from 15 species